rnacentral:rRNA from 1 species
UCGCAUCUGUGCAUGCAGCAUAUCAAUAAGCGGAGGAAAAGAAACUAACAAGGAUUCCCUUAGUAACGGCGAGUGAAGCGGGAAGAGCUCAAAUUUGAAAUCUUCAAGGUUUUACCUUGACGAAUUGUAGUUUAAAGAAGUGUUUUCUGUUGAAGUUUUGGUAAAAGUUCUUUGGAAUAGGACAUCAUAGAGGGUGAGAAUCCCGUAUUUGACCAUUAUUUUCAGCUGUGUGAUACACUUUCAAAGAGUCGGAUUGUUUGGGAAUGCAGUCCAAAAUGGGUGGUAAAUUUCAUCUAAAGCUAAAUAUUGGCGAGAGACCGAUAGCGAACAAGUACCGUGAGGGAAAGAUGAAAAGAACUUUGAAAAGAGAGUUAAACAGUACGUGAAAUUGUCAAAAGGGAAGCGUUUGACACCAGUGUUGUUUUCUCGAAAAUCAAUUAAAAAGAGUUAGAUUUUGUUGUGUAUUGACCUUAACAGCUUGCAUUUCAAUUUUCUUGCUUUUUUUAAUGCACUUUUCGUUUAACAAGUCAACAUCAGUUUCUUUUGUUGUAAAAAGGUCAUUGGAAGGUGGCUUUCUUUUCGGAGAAAGUGUUUAUAGCCUUUGACUCCUGCAAUCGGAGAGACUGAGGUCUGCAGCGUAGAUCCUUCGGGGUUAGAUACAUUUGUGCUAAGUUAUAGCUUUUUAUAGACAACUUGUUGACUAUGAUUAGUCUUGUAGCUUACUCGCUUAUGCUAUUUUACCUACGCUUAGGAUGUUGACACACGCGCGUGCUCG